GGGCCCGUAGCUUAACGGAUAGAGCAGUCGCCUUCGGAGCGAAAGGUUGAGGGUUCGAAUCCCUUCGGGCUCG
rnacentral:tRNA from 1 species